rnacentral:rRNA from 1 species
ACACUGUAAACGAUGAUAACUCGCUGUUGGCGAUAUACGGUCAGUGGCCAAGCGAAAGCGAUAAGUUAUCCACCUGGGGAGUACGUCGGCAACGAUGAAACUCAAAGGAAUUGACGGGGGCCCGCACAAGCGGAGGAACAUGUGGUUUAAUUCGAUGAUACGCGAGGAACCUUACCCGGGCUCGAACGGUACAGGAAUGGGGUAGAGAUAUUCCAGCCCUUCGGGGCCUGUAUCGAGGUGCUGCAUGGUUGUCGUCAGCUCGUGCCGUGAGGUGUCGGCUUAAGUGCCAUAACGAGCGCAACCCUUGUUGUCAGUUACCAGCAAUUCGGAUGGGGACUCUGGCAAGACUGCCACCGUAAGGUGAGAGGAAGGGGGGGAUGACGUCAAAUCAGCACGGCCCUUACGUCCGGGGCGACACACGUGUUACAAUGGUGAGUACAGAGGGCAGCUACCUGGCGACAGGGUGCAAAUCUCGAAAACUCAUCUCAGUUCGGAUUGGAGUCUGCAACUCGACUCCAUGAAGUUGGAUUCGCUAGUAAUCGCGCAUCAGCCAUGGCGCGGUGAAUACGUUCCCGGGCCUUGUACACACCGCCCGUCAAGCCAUGAAAGCCGGGGGUGCUUGAAGUUCGUGACCGGAAGGAGCGACCUAGGGCAAAACUGGUAAUUGGGGCU